GGAUACUGACAGUACAGAGAAGUUUGGGGGUAAUAGCAAUCGAUGAGGAUUUUAGGCUGGUGUAUUUUAAAACUGCAGAUGAGAAGCAGGCUCUGAGGACUGGAGUUUGCUUGCCCUUUGUUGGGAAACAUUUACCUUUGUGAGGGAAACCUCCAUCUGUAAAGAUGCCUCCUCUCUGUGCCAGGAAGAAGGGAGGUGACUUUAUCUCUAGAAAGUCUGAAUCAAUGCCAAAGGCAAGAACUUAAAUUGUUUACUGUCUGGCAACCUCAUGUAACUGACAUCUCCUCAAAAUCCUCCUUUGUCUUUAGCUGAAGAUAAUAUUUAAGCGGUGACUUCUGCCAUUUACUCAAUCUGGUUUGAUUCUUAUCUAAAAGUUAUAGGACCACCCAAUAACCAGACCCUACCGGCACUGAUGUCAUUUUAACAACUCUUUUUACAUAUUCUUCCCUUUGUCUUGUAAAGAGAUAACUCACAUACCUGCGACUUAAAUUUAGCCUUACUCUCCACCAAUGUUGGCAGCAGAGGCAGCAGCAGCAGCAGCUCCCCAUGUCAACAGCAGCUCUGACUGCCCGUGGGUCCUGUCCCCAUGCUAUUCCUCACUAUUCUCUAAAUAAAACAGCAUUACUGCCAGAUCUUGAGAGUCCAAGAAAUCUUUCUUUCUUUCGACUCCUUGGCUCACCGACCCCGCAUCAGCAGUAAUCUAAGUUUCCUUUAAAGAAUGGUCAAUGAACAAGGAGAGAUGGGAAAAGGAAGAGUCAUACCUAGCAAAAUUCACUUCAAAUUGCAGAAACUCAGUAAAAGUUGUAUUUACAAUUAAAAUGCCUCUUUAUCUCUACCCAUAGAUUGGGAGGCUACUGAUUUUUUGCCUCAACUGAGACCACAUGCUCCUAGUUAAAAGAAGUAGGAGAGCUCAGUCAACCCUUCUGCAGGAGAGCUCAGCUAGCCCCUCCAUGCUGACAUUUCUCGCCAAAAUCUAAUUACAAAGAGCAUUUCAGAGCAAAAACUGAAUAUGACCUAAGUAGUUCUAUGCAUUUUGGCACAAAUGGAGGGUAACUGUGAACAAGAUUAUUCAAGAAGUGAUGUUGAGUAGGCUUAUUCCCAGCAUUUUUUUUUCCAAAUUACAGGUAACAAACUAUUAGUGGGCCAUAAAAUUGAUUUAACUGGUUGUAACGCAAAUGCAGGAAGGGCUCCCUGACCUGCCCCUUUCUGCCUGCAGUAGAGCACCCCAUGUGAAAGGUAUACUCCCUCUGCCAAGAAGAGAACAUCUUAUCACCGGAGACUGGGAGUUGACACCAAAAUGGAUCUGUACAAACAAACCUACUAAAAUAACCCUUAGCUUCCAUUGAUUUCCCUCAUAUAUAUCCUAGUCGCUCUCUCACAAAUUACUUCCCCUAGAAGCUUAAACCCCUUUCUUUUGUCUUGUCCUUCCUCCACAAUUUAUCAUUCUUUGGCCCUAACUGCUUCUUUGGGUCUUCAUUUUUCCUAUGAAGGCUCCCAUGUGCAUGUAAAACUAUUAAAUAAAGUUUGUAUGUUUUUCUCCUGUUAAUCUGUCUUUUGUCGGUUCAAUUCAUAGGCCUCAGCCACAGAACCUAAAAGGUAAGAGAAAGCUCUUUUUCCUCCCUUAUACCUGGCACAUAGUAAAUACCAAAUAAAUGUAAGUUGUUCCUGUUGUUAUUAUUAUUAGUGAUAUCAUCCCUGCUUCUACCCUCUUCUGUAUGAAAGGCAGGGAAAAUCAUGAAAAAUUGAGGCAAAGCCCAAGACAGUUGAAUGAUUCAUAGAUCUGCUAGCAUUGAAGCUUCCCUAGGAGGGGCUGGCCCCAUGGCCUAGUGGUUAAGUUCAGAACACUCUGCUUUGGCAGCCCAGGUUCACGGGUUCUGAUCCUGAGCAUGGACCUACACUGCUCAUCAAGCCAUGCUGUGGUGGCAACCCGCAUACAAAAAAGUAGAGGAAGAUUGGCACAGAUGUUGGCUCAGGCCCAAACUUCCUCAUUAAAAAAAGGGAAAACUUACCUAGAAAAUAGAAAAAAAAAUGUUUAAUCUAAAUAUGGAAGCCCUAAGGCAUUGUUCUGGUGGAAAUGAAAUACUCAGCAAAUUCAUACUACAGUGGAGCCAGCCCUGAUGAUGGUUCCUCAGCAAUGGCAUCUGUGACCAUACAGCACACUCGGAGAAGGAACCUGCCCUUGAAAGUCUUCAUGGAUCAUGACUUUCUGAAGAGAUCAGACGGACCCAGGCGUAGUGUGCACUGCCUGGAUCUGGCUGCCUCUUUACGUCUCUUUGGGGGAGUCCCAUCCCGAAGCUAGAAACCCCGUUCUAGCUAAUUCUGAAUCUCUUGCUCUUUACAAUGCUUUCUAGUGGACAAGUCACUAUCAUUAUGGAGAUGAAAAUAUGAAAUAAACACAGGACAUUUUCUGAGAAGGUGUUACCACACAAAGGGCAUAAUCUGCUCGCCGCAAGACAAAAGUCAAAUCGUCAAGAGACAAGAUGGUGGCAGAGAAAGGGCAUUUUGUUAAAUGAUAAGCUAGCAAAUAGGAAGAUGGAGGGACUAGUGUCCUAAAGAAUCAUCCUGAGUGGGGCACAGAACCUUGAAGCAGUUACAUAGACCAAUGAGUUACUGGGGGGGUGGUUAGGAAUGUUGCCCCUCUGGCGUUA
rnacentral:lncRNA from 1 species